CCCAUGGUCAUGGCCUGGGUGCUCCAGUUUAUAAAAGCCAGUAGGUGAUGUGCUUGGGUUAUAUCUACGCAGUCAUGAAGGAGAAGAAGAUACUUCACUUUCUUGCUCUUGCAGUUUUAGUCCAGGCUUGCAUUGCAAGCAGUGAUGGCCAAUAUGGUUACUCCUUGACAGGGCAACCAGAGAAGACAGCAAAGGGCUGGAGGUUGAGUCUUUCAAGACAUGGACCAGCUUCACGUUAUGGCAAUGACAUUUUUUAUGUUGAAAUGCAUGUGGAAUAUCAAACCCAAGACAGACUAAGGUUUAAGAUCUUUGAUCCAAACAACAUACGGUUUGAAGUUCCUCUCAAGAUUGAAUCCCCAUCUGUCAUGGCUGCCGACACUAACUAUGACAUUGAAUUUGUCAAUGAUGAAUCUACUCGAUUUAAAAUCAUAAGAAAAGCCACAGGAACAGUGCUGUGAGUACACAAUAUAUUACAUUUGGCUGUUGGUGGAUUUUUUUCCCCCUAAUAUACAAAA
rnacentral:lncRNA from 11 species